GGCGGACGGGUGAGUAACACGUGGGUAACCUGCCCUUAAGUGGGGGAUAACAUUUGGAAACAGAUGCUAAUACCGCAUAAAUCCAAGAACCGCAUGGUUCUUGGCUGAAAGAUGGCGUAAGCUAUCGCUUUUGGAUGGACCCGCGGCGUAUUAGCUAGUUGGUGAGGUAACGGCUCACCAAGGCAAUGAUACGUAGCCGAACUGAGAGGUUGAUCGGCCACAUUGGGACUGAGACACGGCCCAAACUCCUACGGGAGGCAGCAGUAGGGAAUCUUCCACAAUGGACGCAAGUCUGAUGGAGCAACGCCGCGUGAGUGAAGAAGGCUUUCGGGUCGUAAAACUCUGUUGUUGGAGAAGAAUGGUCGGCAGAGUAACUGUUGUCGGCGUGACGGUAUCCAACCAGAAAGCCACGGCUAACUACGUGCCAGCAGCCGCGGUAAUACGUAGGUGGCAAGCGUUAUCCGGAUUUAUUGGGCGUAAAGCGAGCGCAGGCGGUUUUUUAAGUCUGAUGUGAAAGCCCUCGGCUUAACCGAGGAAGUGCAUCGGAAACUGGGAAACUUGAGUGCAGAAGAGGACAGUGGAACUCCAUGUGUAGCGGUGAAAUGCGUAGAUAUAUGGAAGAACACCAGUGGCGAAGGCGGCUGUCUGGUCUGUAACUGACGCUGAGGCUCGAAAGCAUGGGUAGCGAACAGGAUUAGAUACCCUGGUAGUCCAUGCCGUAAACGAUGAAUGCUAGGUGUUGGAGGGUUUCCGCCCUUCAGUGCCGCAGCUAACGCAUUAAGCAUUCCGCCUGGGGAGUACGACCGCAAGGUUGAAACUCAAAGGAAUUGACGGGGGCCCGCACAAGCGGUGGAGCAUGUGGUUUAAUUCGAAGCAACGCGAAGAACCUUACCAGGUCUUGACAUCUUUUGAUCACCUGAGAGAUCAGGUUUCCCCUUCGGGGGCAAAAUGACAGGUGGUGCAUGGUUGUCGUCAGCUCGUGUCGUGAGAUGUUGGGUUAAGUCCCGCAACGAGCGCAACCCUUAUGACUAGUUGCCAGCAUUUAGUUGGGCACUCUAGUAAGACUGCCGGUGACAAACCGGAGGAAGGUGGGGAUGACGUCAAAUCAUCAUGCCCCUUAUGACCUGGGCUACACACGUGCUACAAUGGAUGGUACAACGAGUUGCGAGACCGCGAGGUCAAGCUAAUCUCUUAAAGCCAUUCUCAGUUCGGACUGUAGGCUGCAACUCGCCUACACGAAGUCGGAAUCGCUAGUAAUCGCGGAUCAGCACGCCGCGGUGAAUACGUUCCCGGGCCUUGUACACACCGCCCGUCACACCAUGAGAGUUUGUAACACCCGAAGC
rnacentral:rRNA from 2 species